AGGAGGAGACACUGUCUACACGCA
rnacentral:siRNA from 1 species